UACAGAGGGGGCAAGCGUUGUUCGGAAUUACUGGGCGUAAAGGGCGCGUAGGCGGCCUUCUAAGUCAGACGUGAAAUCCCUCGGCUUAACCGGGGAACUGCGUCUGAUACUGGAUGGCUUGAGUUUGGGAGAGGGACGCGGAAUUCCAUGUGUAGCGGUGAAAUGCGUAGAUAUCUGGAGGAACACCGGUGGCGAAGGCGGCGUCCUGGACCAACACUGACACUGAGGAGCGAAAGCCAGGGGAGCAAACGGG
rnacentral:rRNA from 1 species